GCCGGGGUGGUGGAAGGGUCUACACAUGAGACUUAAAAUCUCACGGCCUUUCAAGGCCUUGCGGGUUCAAAUCCCGCCCCCGGCACCA
rnacentral:tRNA from 1 species